CGGAGGAUCCAAGCGUUAUCCGGAAUCAUUGGGUUUAAAGGGUCCGUAGGCGGGUUUAUAAGUCAGUGGUGAAAGCCCGUCGCUCAACGAUGGAACGGCCAUUGAUACUGUAGAUCUUGAAUUAUUAGGAAGUAACUAGAAUAUGUAGUGUAGCGGUGAAAUGCUUAGAGAUUACAUGGAAUACCAAUUGCGAAGGCAGGUUACUACUAAUGGAUUGACGCUGAUGGACGAAAGCGUGGGUAGCGAACAGGAUUAGAUACCCUGGUAGUCCACGCCGUAAACGAUGGAUACUAGCUGUUCGGAGCAAUCUGAGUGGCUAAGCGAAAGUGAUAAGUAUCCCACCUGGGGAGUACGUUCGCAAGAAUG
rnacentral:rRNA from 1 species